rnacentral:rRNA from 1 species
UACGGAGGGUGCAAGCGUUGCUCGGAAUUAUUGGGCGUAAAGGGCGGGUAGGUGGUCUCAUUUGUCGGGGGUGAAAGCCUUGGGCUUAACUCAAGAAGUGCCCCCGAAACGGUGAGUCUAGAGUACUGGAGAGGGUCGUGGAAUUCCCGGUGUAGCGGUGAAAUGCGUAGAGAUCGGCAGGAACACCAGAGGCGAAGGCGGCGCCCUGGACAGUCACUGACACUCAACUGCGAAAGCGUGGGGAGCAAACAGG